rnacentral:rRNA from 1 species
AUUGAACGCUGGCGGCAGGCUUAACACAUGCAAGUCGAGCGGGGUGAUGGUGCUUGCACUAUCACUUAGCGGCGGACGGGUGAGUAAUGCUUAGGAAUCUGCCUAUUAGUGGGGGACAACAUCUCGAAAGGGAUGCUAAUACCGCAUACGUCCUACGGGAGAAAGCAGGGGAUCACUUGUGACCUUGCGCUAAUAGAUGAGCCUAAGUCGGAUUAGCUAGUUGGUGGGGUAAAGGCCUACCAAGGCGACGAUCUGUAGCGGGUCUGAGAGGAUGAUCAGUCACACUGGAACUGAGACACGGUCCAGACUCCUACGGGAGGCAGCAGUGGGGAAUAUUGGACAAUGGGGGCAACCCUGAUCCAGCAAUGCCGCGUGUGUGAAGAAGGCCUUCGGGUUGUAAAGCACUUUUGGCAGGGAGGAAGGUAUGGAGUUUAAGAGACACCAUAUUUGACUGUACCUGCAGAAUAAGCACCGGCUAACUCUGUGCCAGCCGCCGCCGUAA